rnacentral:rRNA from 1 species
AUUGAACGCUGGCGGCAUGCCUUACACAUGCAAGUCGAACGGCAGCACGGGGCAACCUGGUGGCGAGUGGAGAACGGGUGAGUAAUGCAUCGGAACGUACCUUUCAGUGGGGGAUAACGUAGCGAAAGUUACGCUAAUACCGCAUAUUCUGUGAUCAGGAAAGCAGGGGAUCGCAAGACCUUGCGCUGAUUGAGCGGCCGAUGUCAGAUUAGCUAGUUGGUGAGGUAAAGGCUCACCAAGGCGACGAUCUGUAGCGGGUCUGAGAGGAUGAUCCGCCACACUGGAACUGAGACACGGUCCAGACUCCCACGGGAGGCAGCAGUGGGGAAUUUUGGACAAUGGGGGCAACCCUGAUCCAGCCAUGCCGCGUGAGUGAAGAAGGCCUUCGGGUUGUAAAGCUCUUUCGGCCGGGAAGAAAUCGCACGGGCUAAUACCCUGUGUGGAUGAUGGUACCGGAAUAAGAAGCACCGGCUAACUACGUGCCAGCCGCCGCAGUAAUAC